rnacentral:ncRNA from 1 species
CUUACGGGACGACCCGUAAGCGCGUCUUAUGGAUCGGGGACGACCCCA